rnacentral:misc_RNA from 1 species
AACUGUGUGAUGUUGGCAAUACAAAUGAUUUUAGUUAUUUUAAUAAAUGUGUUGUGAAAACAAAUGUUUUGUGAAUGACAAUUAUUGAUGUUUGGGAAUAUUACUACUGUUUUCAUAUUUCAUGGAAAUUUGAACAUAUUCAAUACUUUAUCAUGAUUUGAUAAACUAUGUUUUGUGAUGAUUUUAUAAAUUGAUAGUUGUGCACCACUAAGGUUAUAUACUGCGAUAGCUUUUUCUUAUGCUAUCGCAGGUAAAGGAAAAGAAAAGACUGCAGAGUGAGAGUAAUA